UCUUCCGUCAAAAGGUUGAGGUGGGGAAUUCUACCGUGAUGAAACUGUUUUCGGAAACGGAGAAACUUAUAUAAUAUAAUUUCUGAAUAAUAGUUUUAUGUAAGUUGCCGUGUAAUAUUGCAUAGUAUUUAGCAAGACUAAAAAAUGACCCUGAGAAACUACCAGACGAGAAAACAAAUCCUCGAGACAGGUGUAACCAGUUUGAAUGACCCAUCACGUGAAGGAAACUUUCAAGAGAUGCACCAGCAUAUGCAUCCCUGAAUGUGUACAGGAACUGUAACAACCAAUGAACCUUGCAACACCUGAGGGAUGACAUACGGCAUUAGAUUUACGACAACUCUGAGAUGAGUUCUGCAUUCUGUUGCACAAACUUUUGCUACUUAUGGAGAGCGUCACCUUUAAAAUGUUACUCUCCGCAGCACUGCUUUCUCACAGCUUCAGAAUCCUGACCUGCAUGCCUGUUUGGUUACUCGGUGUGGUUUGCAUGUUCUCACUCUGUGGACUUCAGUUUUUUUGCGGUUCUCUGAUCCCCUUACUAUUACACAGUGAGCAGGGCAGGAAGAUCUUGACUUGGAGCAAGAACCAGUAUACAUGCCUCCACUACACACUCCAUUUCUUCCUCCUCUGCCAGGUUUAUUACGCUCAUCACAAUGGAUAAGACAAACCAGAGCAAUGAAGACAGCACAUCGAUUAACUGCAUAAAACCUUUAUUUUCUUUUUGUCAAUUGGCAGUAAAUGGAAUUCCUUUUUUGGUCCUCUAA